rnacentral:rRNA from 1 species
UACAGAGGGGGCGAGCGUUGUUCGGAAUUACUGGGCGUAAAGGGCGCGUAGGCGGCCAACUAAGUCAGAUGUGAAAUCCCCGGGCUCAACCUGGGAACUGCAUUUGUGACUGCAUAGCUAGAGUACGGUAGAGGGGGAUGGAAUUCCGCGUGUAGCAGUGAAAUGCGUAGAUAUGCGGAGGAACACCGAUGGCGAAGGCAAUCCCCUGGACCUGUACUGACGCUCAUGCACGAAAGCGUGGGGAGCAAACAGG